ensembl:lncRNA LOC108352071 uncharacterized LOC108352071
AGCAGGAACAGCCAAAUAAGGACUUGUUUUUAGCGGAAGGCAGAAACAGGACUUGUUUUUCACAAGGAGCGGUAGGCGGAAACCGGCGCCAUCUCUGGGGCGCAGGACCUCGCAGCUCCCUACACAAAUGUGAGCGCCCAGCUUCUUGCUCCCGCCAUCAUGCCUGCCACUUACAGCCUUCCCUUCGUGCCACGAUGUACUCAUUCUUCCGGAACUGAUGUGGAAAGCUUUGGAACUUGGAACCAGAUAAUAGUUGAAUGCUGGAUGUAAGCAGAGCUUUCACGGCCAUCCUAAUAGGAGCCUAUAAGAUAACCACGCUGAGAGCAACGUUGACUAUGGAGGCCCAGCUCAAGGCAUUUCAGACGGGAACAAUACUGACAACAGGACUAGAGGCUGUUCCUGUGAGAGUCUGGCAAACAAAGAUCUGGCUGCCUUCAACCUUGGUUCUCAGUACUUGCCUGAGUCAAGCCUUUAAAUUGAUGGACUACUUUCUUUGGCAGAAGACAGGGUAACCUUGAAUCUGUGGUGCUGCUUUUGAAGCUUACAAUUAAGAAAUUGUCUUCAGUCUGAGAAGAGUUUUUAGACUUUGGGAUUUUAAACAACGUUGAAAUUGUGAAAGACCAUGGCAACAUUUGGAGUUGGACUGAAGCUAAGCGUAUCUUGCAUUGUGAUGUGGCCAUGAGCCUUUAGGAGCCAAGGAAUGGAAUGUGGGGGGUAUAAAUGAGAAUGUCCCCCACAGGCUUGGAUGUUUGAAUACCUGGUCCCCAGUUGGUGGUGCUGUUUGUUGGGGAGGGGGCUCACGAGAACCAGCCUUUCUAGGGGAUGUUUGUUACUGGAGGCUGGCUUUGACGGUUAAUAUUAUAUACCAUUACUACUUUCCUCUCCCUGAGAUAGAAAAGUAUGUUUCCAGUUCUAGUUGUGAGCUCUCUCUCUCAGCUUCCUGCUCCAGCUGCCAUGUCUGUUACUCAUUGCUAUGCCUUUCUACCACGAUGGACUAUUAGCCCUCUGUAAGCCCAAAUAAACAGUUCCUUCUAUAAGUUGCCUUGGGCAUGUUAACAAAAAAGGUAAGUGAUAACAGAAAUAUUAUAAUCAUUUGCACACAAAUUACAAGUGAAACUGAAAAAAUAUCUAGAAAAAAUACAAACUAACAGAGACUGAAAAGGAAAAGGCACCCUAAAUAGACCUAUGGGAAGUAAACAGGAU